UACGUAGGUGGCGAGCGUUGUCCGGAAUUACUGGGUGUAAAGCGCGUGUAGGCGGGAGGCCAAGUCUGUGGUGAAAUCGCCCGGCUCAACUGGGGCGGGGUCAGCGGAUACGGUCGAGCUUGAGCAAGCUAGGGGGUAAUGGAAUUCCCGGUGUAGUGGUGGAAUGCGUAGAUAUCGGGAGGAACACCAGUGGCGAAGGCGGUUACCUGGGGCUUUGCUGACGCUGAUGCGCGAAAGCGUGGGGAGCGAUCCGG
rnacentral:rRNA from 1 species